CCCUUAGAUGUUCUGGGCCGCACGCGUGCUACACUGAGUGGAUCAGCGGGUCAGGUUGCGCGAAAGUGUUUCCUAAUCUUUAAAUCCGCUCGUGAUGGGGAUUGACGGUUGCAAUUUUCCGUCAUGAACGAGGAAUACCUUGUAAGCGCGGGUCAUCAUCCCGCGCUGAAUACGUCCCUGCCCGUUGUACACACCGCCCGUCGCUCCUACCGAUUGAGUGGUCCGGUGAGGCUUUGGGAUCUGAGCGGAAAGAGCGUUUCGCUGUUUCUGCCCGGAAAACUCAGUCGAACCUUAUCAUUUAGAGGAAGGAGAAGUCGUAACA
rnacentral:rRNA from 1 species